rnacentral:snRNA from 1 species
GUGCUCAUUUCAGCGGCACGUACAGUAAAAUUGGAACAAUACAGAGAAGAUUAGCAUGGCUCCUGCGCAAGAAUGAUACACAAAUUCAUGAACCGUUCCAUAUUUUU